AGAGUUUGAUCCUGGCUCAGGAUGAACGCUGGCGGCGUGCCUAACACAUGCAAGUCGAGCGAGGGUUUGCUCAGUAUUGAGUAUUCUAAGACUAGAAUGUUCAAUUCUGAGCAAAACCAAGCGGCGGACGGGUGAGUAACGCGUGGGUAACCUGCCUCAUACAGGGGGAUAACGGUUAGAAAUGACUGCUAAUACCGCAUAAGCGCACAGUACCGCAUGGUACGGUGUGAAAAACUCCGGUGGUAUGAGAUGGACCCGCGUCUGAUUAGCUAGUUGGUGAGAUAACUGCCCACCAAGGCGACGAUCAGUAGCCGACCUGAGAGGGUGAUCGGCCACAUUGGAACUGAGACACGGUCCAAACUCCUACGGGAGGCAGCAGUGGGGAAUAUUGCACAAUGGGCGAAAGCCUGAUGCAGCGACGCCGCGUGAGUGAAGAAGUAUUUCGGUAUGUAAAGCUCUAUCAGCAGGGAAGAAAAUGACGGUACCUGACUAAGAAGCCCCGGCUAACUACGUGCCAGCAGCCGCGGUAAUACGUAGGGGGCAAGCGUUAUCCGGAUUUACUGGGUGUAAAGGGAGCGUAGACGGCGACGCAAGUCUGAAGUGAAAUACCCGGGCUCAACCUGGGAACUGCUUUGGAAACUGUGUUGCUAGAGUGCUGGAGAGGUAAGCGGAAUUCCUAGUGUAGCGGUGAAAUGCGUAGAUAUUAGGAGGAACACCAGUGGCGAAGGCGGCUUACUGGACGAUAACUGACGUUGAGGCUCGAAAGCGUGGGGAGCAAACAGGAUUAGAUACCCUGGUAGUCCACGCCGUAAACG
rnacentral:rRNA from 1 species